UUUCACCGUGUUAGCCAGGAUGGCCUCGAUCUCCUGACCUUGUGAUCUGCCCACCUUGGCCUCCCAAAGCAUUGAGAUUACAGGCGUGAGCCACCGCACCCGGCGAAAAAGUUCUUGAGAUGGACGAUGGUAAUGGUUGCACAACAAUGAGACUGUGCUUAGUGCCACUGAACUGUGCAUUUCACGAUGGUCAAGAUGGAUGGCAGCUGCAUUUAAUCUCCCGUGGCCACCAUGGAGGUGCUCUUCUCAGGUCGGCCUUCAAGAGAGAAGCCUCUGCAAGAAGUGCAGUCAGCUGACAGCCUCCAGCUACUUGGGGAUCUUCCGCCACAUUCAAAUCAUCCUGCCCAACCUGGGACCCCAGUACUGGCCAUCUUUGCUCCAGAGACCCCCUGGGGCCGGGUGAGGCUCCCCCGCCCAGCUCUCCAGUGGCCCCUCUCCUUCACAAGCAUUGUGCUUGGUGCGCUCCAUGCUCUCCCUGACUGCUCUGCCCCUCGCCCCUUUCUCCUUUACAGCUCCUUCUCCUAACACAGUUCUUGUAUCUCUAACUCCAACCUGUUGUCUACUUCCCAGGGGAGCUGAACUGACACCUUUGCCCCAGGCCAUAUCCCCAGCACACAGACAAGUGCCUAGCACAUAGUAGGCGCUCAACAGAAUUUCCAAGUGAGCACAGAAAACACAGUGGGCAGUCAAUACAUGUGUGUUGAACUCAGCAAAUUGCACAGCAGCUGGGAAACAGCCGUCGCCGGCUCCUCUGAGCGUGGUGCUCCCGCAGCCCGUGUCAGCUGCGGUGCUUUGCCAAUGCAAACAGGAGUGGAGAGUUAGACCCAGGCCCACUCCAGCUGCUGGGCCCCUUGCUCAACACAGCCCCUUCCUGCCACCUGCAGGGUGGGGUCUUCCUGAGCCCGCAGAGGGCACAGAAGGAAAUACCUGCUCCCGGCCAUGCAGGCCUCCCUGGCAUGGGCACCCUGAGAGUCCUGGUCCCGGGAGCCAGGAAUAACAAAGAGGCUGCCAGGGCCGGGCCCCUGGGACCUGAGGGCUGAGGGCAGAGCAUGCCUCCCUGGUUUGCUGGGCAGGAGGCUGAUUGGGCUAAAUGGACUUUGUUGAUGGUGACCCUUUGUUCCUCCAUGGCGGCUCCGUCUGAGGAGAAGUUUUGGAGGCUGUUCAUUCUCCUGCUUCCCCUGCUGCCACCCCAGAGACAAGGAGAGCAGCCUCCCAGUGGCCUGUUGGUUUGUAAAAGAGUCAGGUGUGGGAGGUUGCAUCACGUGCUUCUCUGGACUCGUGGUCUGCAAGGAGGUGUGACAAGUGUGG
rnacentral:lncRNA from 10 species